GGAGAGAUCACUAGUGAGAAUGAUGACAUGAGUAGCGACAAACAGGGUGAGAGACCCUGUCGCCGAAAGUCCAAGGGUUCCUGCUUAAAGCUAAUCUGAGCAGGGUAAGCCGACCCCUAAGGCGAGGCCGAAAGGCGUAGUCGAUGGGAAUGCAGUGAAUAUUCUGCAGCCAGUGGAUGGUGACGAAUCCCGUAUGUUGUCCGACCUUAAUGGAUUGGUUGGGCCUCGAAGGGGUUCCAGGAAAUAGCCUCCACAUCAGAUCGUACCCGAAACCGACACAGGUGGACUGGUUGAGAAUACCAAGGCGCUUGAGAGAACUAUGCUGAAGGAACUCGGCAA
rnacentral:rRNA from 1 species